rnacentral:rRNA from 1 species
GACGAACGCUGGCGGCGUGCUUAACACAUGCAAGUGGAGCGACGAACCAGGGCUUGCCCUGGGGCAGAGCCGCGAACGGGUGAGUAACACGUGGGGAACCUACCCCGAAGACUGGGACAACCCGGGGAAACUCGGGCUAAUACCAGAUGUGGUCCCACUACAUAAGUGGUGUGACUAAAGGAAGCUUCGGCCUCCGCUUUGGGAGGGUCCCGCGGCGCAUUAGCUUGUUGGUGAGGUAACGGCUCACCAAGGCUUCGAUGCGUAGCUGGUCUGAGAGGACGAGCAGCCACACUGGGACUGAGACACGGCCCAGACUCCUACGGGAGGCAGCAGUGGGGAAUCUUGCGCAAGGGGCGACAGCCUGACGAAGCAACGCCGCGUGGGGGAAGAGGGCCUUCGGGUUGUAAACCUCUUUCAGGAGGGGCGAAGCUUUGCCGGUGAAUAGCCGUGUGAAGUGACGGUACCUCCACAAGCAGCCCCGGCUAACUACGUGCCAGCCGCCGCCGUAACAC